rnacentral:rRNA from 1 species
UAGAUAGGGCAGAGGUGGAAGCACGGUAACGUGUGGAGCUGACUGUUACUAAUAGGUCGAGGGCUUGACCAAAAA